GGAAUGGAAGGGAGCGCUGCCGCUGCCUAGCGCCUUUGCCCCACCCUCCUCUCCAAAUCGCCUCCUCCUCCCAGCCUUCUCGAGAUCUCCACGCUGUAGAUCCAUGGAGGGGAGGCCGCGGACGAGGUCAGAGCGCCGACCUCAUCCACGCGCUCACCUUCGGUACACCGAGGGCAUGCCCCCACUUCCCUCUCGCGCGCGGCCUCUCCUCCGUAUCUCCCGUCUCACCCCGUGCAGCUUCUGUUGCUUGGCGUGCUUGCAGAUGUGGACGAGUUCUACAGCUUGUGUGACCCAGCUCAACCGAAUCGGAUCCUAGGCUUGGAGUUGGUAACCGUCGAAUUCAAUUAUUGUCUUGUCUGCGUGAUGCUGCUCCUGUGCGUGUGGGCUGACGAAUUCGUUAUUUCUUAGAUGAUAACUAGGCAUGCAUGGUUGCAAAUCGUUAUUUCUUUGUCAGCUUGGUCAAAGGUGGGAGGUGUGCAUGAGAGAGGGGCCGCAUGCUCAUUAGUUCAAUCAUAUAUGUGGAACAGACUUUAAAGAAUUUUGAUCUGAAUUGAGUGCUCCAUGUCCUGUUGUUUUGCAGCCCAAUGAUUCGAUUCAUUUCUGAGAUAGGUGGAAUAGUAAGAUUGUUUUCCUUUCAAGAAAAGAACUGGUGGAAGUAAUAGAUCAAUGUUGUUCUAUUUGGUAGCUUAUGGGUCUUGGUCUGUGCACAGAUGUCAUCAUACAUACUUCUCCAGCGUGGAAUGAACACUAUAAGGCAAUUAUAAGGUGCUGAGUACACAAACAGGGAGAGUUAUGCUGUGAGAGGCAAACUGAUGAUGAGGGCAGUGCCUCCAAUCCAUGCCAGCUUCCAUCCAGCAUUUCCUCAACACUCAAGCUUUCAAGAUGCAAACGGGAAGAAACAAACUGUUGCUUGCUAUCAAAGAAAGCAAGCUCCACAUAUAUAAGCCAAGAAGGUAUGCUUCUGGACUUCUGGAUCGAAACUAUCAGAUGAUCCAGUAAGUAGUAUUCACCAACAUGGCUCAAAGUGAAAAGACAAGGUUUAGUUCUUGUAGAACGCCAUUGGGUUCAGCUUAUGUAUUAGUUCAUAUAAGUAGUGUUAGGAACCGCUGGAAAAUAAGGUAGCAGAAUAGAGGAGGCCCUGUGAUGUAUGUAUGAGCACAGAUGUAUGCACAUAUGUAUGUGUGAUCAGAGGAUGAACUAUAUAUGAUGUGUAUGUGGCCUAGUUUUUGUUAA